GUUCAGUCCUUCGCAGGGCGGUGGAUCACAUACACAACAUUAAAGCAUUCGACUUUGAAAGCUGGUUUUAAGGAGCCUUUCAAGCUGAGAGGGGUAGCAGCUUGGCCUGUCAGGGAUUAUGUUGGGAACCGGAGGGCUAAACCAUCUUCUUGAGUGACGCCAUUCAUCAUAAACUGCCCUUCGCAUUGAAUUUGAGGAUCUGGUCAGGCAAUCUUUUGUGGAAUGUGAAGAAGACUUCAACGUGACAACAUUUUGGAUUGGAUUUUAGGAUUGUUCCCGCUUUAGAUCAAUCUAGACUGACCCAGUCACUUUCCUUAAACAUUUUCCACUACUACUGAACUUUGACAAGAGGAAGUUCUCAGACUGUCUUCGUGGUGUGAGGUCAGCAACAACACAUCUGUCCAAACUGUGGACGUGUCUGUAAGCGAUCAGCAGUGAUGGAGUCUGUGGCAGCCCGGAUGGCCAUGGACACCGACUCGCCCAACCUGUCCCUGAGGUCCAGGACUACCGUGACCACGGACGGAGAUUCUUAUGUGAGCACUUCCAGCCUUCCCUGCAGCCACUUCCUGUCCGCCAAUGUCAUCAAUGUUGGAGGACAGCCGCAGUGAUGCAACUAAACACGUCCUGAAGAUCCUGGUUGUCCAUGGUGCCAAUGGAGAGGAUCCAGUGGAUGCAGCCCUCCUGCUUGAAGGCAAAGAGAUGAUGCCAGGAUGCAGCAGUACUGCCAAGGCAUGCACGCUGCUUAUGGGGCUGAUUUAUGCCUUAAACCUGGCAUACCCCCCCAACACUGCGCUACACUUUGGAGCUGUUCCAGAAACUUUUUCUCGGACUGGAUGGGAUUAAGUUGACCCCGAAAGUACAAGCUUUAAAGUUGAAACUGCUGUCUUAAAGACAUGGCAACAAACUUUAUUUUUGUGAUCAACAUUUUGUAUUAAAGCAAAAGACACUGUGUCGCGGAGGUUAAUGUAACGUUAGUUUAAUAUGCCCGUGAAAUGCAAAAACUUUUCGGUUUCACCGGUAGGAUUUCUACGCACUUGGUGAUGCUGACUCAUAUGACUCAAAGGACUCGUAUGAUCCGGAUCUCUUCAAUUACUGACUCAGAAGACCGUAAAAGGAUCCGGAUUAGCCAUCUCUAGUUUUUAGGUAUACAAUGUUCAGGCUAUGAAUGAUAUAUGAACAAACCCUUCUGUAAAAACCUUCAGAAUAUUGAUAGGAAUAUAACUGGAAGGUUUGGUGUAUGUAAGUGCUACUGAAGUGGACAUCUCUCAUUCAGAAUAGGAGAAAAAAACUAAUUUUGAGAAAACAACCUUUAAAGAUUGCUGUGUGGCUCAAACUAAACUCUCUUGUUCUUUGGACAAUAGCUUGCACAUCGACGCACUCCGUGACGGUAUUUCAUAGUCAGGGUCAUUUGUUUUUUGUCUAACCUUGCUUCGUGCAAGUGACAAUUGUUGUCAUCUUCUCUGUGAAUGUUUUUUUCGCUGUUCUUUUGCCAUUUUGAGAUUUUAAUUUCCAGCGGAAAGCUAACCAGGAAGUGUUUUAGCACAUCACGUGACGCAUCUGAACGAAUCACGAUGUGGCGGCUUCCGUCUAACUUCAGCGUGGUGCUGUUUAACAGACAUGUCAAUUAUUGUAGCGAACACAAAUAACUGUAAGUACAGAAAGAUAUUGGAAACACAGAAUUUGUCUUCACGUAAAUUUAACGCGCUACAGAAGGAGACACCAACAGUUAAACUUCUAAUAAAGUCGCUAUUAUCCCACUAGUCUCCCUGGAUUACCACUCUCCUUCUUUAGGCUGCAGUGAAACAGACCGCAUCACAGACUGGCACACAGGCGGUUUACACAGAGCAGCAUCCAUGGCAGUGAAUGUGACAUACCCUUUUUUAGGAAUCUGGUGCCGCUAUAUAGUGUACACAGGAAAUAAAAGCCCACGUGCAAUUGUGCAUCACACACAGUCGGAUGCAUGUGAGUGAAGUGAAUUGACUUGACUCCCACAGUAAAGGAAAACUCAGUUUGUCGCCACACUGCUUAUACCGAGCAGCAUUUGAAAAUGUAGCGCAAACACCACCCACCGAAGUGAAAAAAACCACUUCUGAACUACUAAUGCCCCACUGCCACAUUUUGUAUUCAAAACAGUGAAUUUCGCCAGCUGUUGACUAAUUUGAAGCAACUACUAAACCACUAAGUAUUACAUGUUGUGUGUGCCUCGUCCAUGAAAGCACGCUAAAUUAGCUAGCACGCUAACUAAACUGAAACACUGACGUUAGUUAACGUUCGUUUGAUAUCCACAUUAAGCUGACAAACUAACAGGGAUGUACAGAGUUAAUAAAGUACAAAAAUAUACUUACAUGAUUCAAAAUCCACGAGUAUUCAUAUUAGACGAGGGUCCAUGCUCUCUUCAACUGGAACCGGCUGCUUUUUUUCAAAUGCCUGCACUGUGCGCAAACUCCUCUGACGUCAUAGAGGGCGUCGCCCACCUUUACUCACAUUGCCCAGGUAUAUUUGACUAGCUUUUCACAGGUUGUAGGUCAACACAUUACUUUAGUUAACAUUUACUUGGUGCUAUGAUAUAAAUGUAGGCCUACUUGUCAAAAUGAAGAUACAAAAAUACUUGCAAAUUCAAGUAAAAAAAAGGAGUGAUUUUGAGUGAAAGAGAAUUAUCAGUGUACUAUCCCAUCAUUCAAGGGUGGUUUUCACUAUUAGUAUAGGGUUUUUUUUGGACGGAAACUAUAAUUUACAUUUUUUUUACUAUGUUCAACCUGAAUUUACUUUAAAAUAAAAACAUCUAUAUUGAUUCUGACUUUUCUACAGCCAACUCACAGGUGUAUCAUUGCUUUGAGAGAAAAGAUUAUUAAUUUCCCCCUUUUAGAAGUGAAGAUAUAGUCAUUUGUUCUGGGAAUGUCAUUUUCGAUCCUGAGACCUGAAAAACAGGUUAAAUGUUUUUAUUUAUUUUCUCCCUGUUUCAGCAAUGUGCUAUGCAAGACAGACAUUGUCUGAUGGCAGUUAGGGUAUAAGGGACAAUCCAGGGGACGUUACUUCCUCUUGAUACCGUCGGUUAUUUACAAAAAAAACACCUAAAUAUAGCCUAUUUGUUAUUGAGCUUCUGUCUUUCUCUGUAUUUUCAUCUGCAAACUCCCUCAACAUCCCUCAACAUCGCUCUCUUUUCUAGAUCGCCCUCUCACGGGUGAACACUGUCCCGCUUCAUUGUAGGAUUUCUGCCAUGUCUAGCACUUUAGUUUGACCAUCUCUGUUAUUAAGUUAUGGAAUAUUAAAUAAAUAAGU